ACAAAAACUUUUCGCUAUUUAUAAAAGAGAUCAGUCGUCCAACUCGCAGCCUCUAUUUCUCCCUCUCUUCGAAGCUCUUUGUUUAAAAAUUUUCAAAUUUAAUUUUUGCAUAUUAAGAUCUAACCUUUUCAUUUGCAGACGCACUCUCAGAUCCCAGCUCUAGAACUUCAAUUCUCUCCCUAAAAGUUUGUAGACAAAUGGGAGAAACAAGAGACAACGAUGCCUACGAGGAAGAGCUCCUCGAUUACGAGGAAGAAGAAGAGAAAGCCCCUGACUCUGUCACUGCUAAGGUCAAUGGCGAGGCCGGCAAGAAGGGCUAUGUUGGGAUUCACAGUUCUGGAUUCAGAGACUUCCUUUUGAAACCAGAGCUUCUUCGGGCCAUUGUCGAUUCUGGAUUCGAGCACCCUUCCGAAGUGCAACAUGAAUGUAUUCCCCAAGCUAUACUGGGUAUGGAUGUUAUUUGCCAAGCUAAAUCAGGAAUGGGGAAGACUGCAGUUUUUGUUCUAUCUUCAUUACAGCAAAUUGAACCAAGUCCUGGGCAAGUUAUUGCCCUCGUUUUAUGCCAUACAAGGGAGUUAGCUUACCAGAUUUGUCAUGAGUUCGAGAGGUUCAGUACUUAUCUGCCUGAUAUCAAGGUUGCUGUCUUCUAUGGUGGUGUCAACAUCAAAGUUCAUAAAGAUUUGCUGAAAAAUGAAUGCCCUCACAUUGUUGUUGGGACACCUGGAAGGAUUUUGGCUCUGACCAGAGACAAGGACCUUUCCUUGAAGAAUGUGAGGCAUUUCAUUCUCGAUGAAUGUGACAAGAUGCUGGAAUCACUUGACAUGAGGAGAGAUGUGCAGGAGAUUUUCAAGAUGACCCCUCAUGAUAAGCAAGUUAUGAUGUUUUCAGCCACACUCAGCAAAGAAAUACGCCCGGUUUGCAAGAAAUUCAUGCAAGAUCCUAUGGAAAUUUACGUUGACGACGAGGCCAAGUUGACCCUUCAUGGUCUUGUGCAGCACUACAUCAAAUUGAGUGAACUGGAGAAAAACCGAAAGUUGAAUGACCUCCUUGAUGCAUUGGACUUCAAUCAAGUUGUUAUCUUUGUCAAAAGUGUGAGCCGAGCAGCUGAGUUGAACAAGUUACUUGUGGAGUGCAAUUUUCCUUCCAUAUGCAUCCACUCUGGCAUGUCUCAGGAAGAAAGAUUAACUCGCUACAAGGGUUUCAAGGAGGGGCAUAAAAGAAUUCUUGUGGCAACAGAUUUGGUUGGAAGGGGAAUCGACAUUGAACGAGUUAACAUUGUCAUCAACUAUGACAUGCCAGAUUCUGCUGAUACAUACCUGCACAGGGUUGGUAGAGCUGGUCGGUUUGGCACCAAGGGUCUUGCAAUUACAUUUGUUUCAUCCGCUUCAGAUUCUGAUGUGCUCAAUCAGGUCCAAGAGAGGUUUGAGGUUGAUAUAAAGGAGCUUCCUGAGCAGAUUGAUACAUCUACGUACAUGCCAUCAUAAAUGAAGGUUCAUUCAACAAUACCAGUCUCGGGCCCCAAAUCAUGAAUCGGUUAGUGUGGUUGCGGAUGUGUAUCUGUUUGUAAACUAAUGUGUAACGCCUUUUAAAUCAGUUGCUUGGGAGGGAGCGGCAGAUGCACUAUCACGUGGUUUUGAACUGCUGCUUAAAAGAGUAUUGUAGCCUUAUAAAAACUCAAUUGAGGAUUUAGCUAUAUCGAUAGGUUUUGUUGGAUCGGACAAUGUGAGAGAUUCAACCAUUAACUGUAGAGUUGAGCUCCACACUACAAGCCAUUAAUGUAGACAUUGUUUGAAUGAAUGCAAGCAUCCUAUGAAGACAAUGCCACCCAUAUGAUCUGUGAAGAUGCUUUAUCUCGAAACCUCUCAGUUUCUUAGGGGCGUUAAUUGCAUGAACCGAAGGCAAUUGAUCUCAUGUGAUUGGCUAAGACGUGUUCUUAGCCUUUGUUAAUUAUGUCUUACAAUCUACAUUGGGUAUGCACCAAAGCCACCGAUUCUUUUGGGCUUGAAGCUUAUGUUUGGUGGUAUAAUAAAGGUGAAGAAAGCAUUGCUAUUGAUAUCUA